AUCUGUCCAAGGUACAGUUUUUUGUCAAUCCCGUUAUAUUUCAACAUAAAAAUCCCGAUUUCCCAUGGCUAAAAACGUGGGUUUCCCGUAUCCCGAUGAUUUUCUAUCCCGAAUUCCCGAUUUUUAAACAAGGCAAUCCCAAUUUCCCGUUGCUAAAAUCGGCCAAUCCCGGCGUCCCGAAAAUGGUCUCGCCCUCCCUCAUCAUAGUGCUUCUGUUAUAACUAAUACACAAGGUGAUAUAUUCUUCAUACAUGUAAAUGACGAUUUUUCAUGUUAUUUUCAUGAUUUACGAGCUGGGUAAACUUGGUGCAUAGAAUUAUAAAUGCGCCCUUCACAUUAGUGUAAUUGAUCUGUGUAAACUAUUUGCGUGUGUUUUAUAUCUGCACACAUUAUUAAGUUAUCAAAUGAUCGUAAUUAUCCCUGUCCAAAAUUUGCACAUUUACAAUAGUGUAUAGAGAUUCACUGUACAGCAGGGUGAAGGUUGAUGUGAAUAAAUACCGUAAACCAUUAUCAUGAUUAUCAUGAGCAAUUUAUUUUGGUGACUAUAAAAAAAAAAUGCUUACAAGUCAAAAUUGGAUAUUUCCUCUUAUCAUUCUUAUAAACAUGUUUAAAUAUGUCAAGAAAGUUAACAAAAAAAAGGCAGAAAUAAAUUGCCAUAACUGAGCUGUAGGGAGAGUUAUGUGAGUGAUUCCUAUUCGUCACCACAUUCACUGUUAUAUAUAAUCUCCAAAUAGAACAAGAACCUUGUGUGUAUUGUAUUGACAAAGAUUUUUUAUAACUCUUUGCCAAGUAUACAAUACUUUAGUACUACAUCUUUGUACAGUAAUUAUGGAAAUGUUUUAUAAUGACAUCAGUAUAUUAGCUAGUCAAUGGUAGCUGGUUGAAAAUUAUAUCUUUUCUCAUUCAAAAUAUUCAGAUGAUUAUAUUUGCAUAACUUUCUAUGGGAAGAAAGUACAAAGAGUUGUUUCAUUUUCAUGUUAAAAGGGGUUAGACAUAUAUAUAUCUGUUAUUUUUCUGGCAUCUGCUGCAUAAGCAUACAUGUACAUGUAUGUCAUUUUUUCAAAAUAGAUGUAUGUUCCCUUCCUGUCGUACUUUUGCUGUAGGGAUUUUUUAAAAUAAUUCCUUAAACAUGUACACUCAAAUGUGGAUUUUUUUUUGUUAUUUCCUUUUUUUCUGGCACAUACAUGUAUAUUUUUCUCAACAGUUUUACAACCACAAUUGAAAUACUUGAUUAUUUUUUUGUAUUUGAUGACAUAGAUUCAGUAUAUUUAGCUGGAUAUAAUGAACACAUUUUAUUUAUACAAUUGAUAUGCAUUUGUAGAUAGAAAUAUAUUUAACUUGUUAACUUUUUAUUUAGUUAUCCCAGAAUAUUGACUAUUGUGAUACUUUUAUAUUCCAUUUUAGAUAACAGAUGUUCACCUUUUUUUUUAAUCAUAACUUGUACAUUUUAUCACAUCAUAAAGUUCUAUUAAUAUUUCAUAAGAAACGAAUAUUGAAGCAUUAUCAAUUAAAAAUUAGUAUUUUGACUAGAAAAUUAGAAUUUUGCAACUAAAUGCAUUCUGACCUUCACCAAUUUUUUUCUGGAGGUUAUUUUUAACCAUUGGAAGCAGUUGAAAUAAAAAAAAAUGCUGCGAUGACAAUUUGGAAAAGAGUAAAUAUUGUGUACAGUAAGUUGUUUUGGACAUACUUUACAAGAAAUGUUGAAGGUAACAUUAUAAUGAUUUGAUACAUGGUUAGGGUAUUUUGGCCUUCUUCAAUAUGCAUUUAUUUCUUAACAUUUUAUUGAAUGAUUUACCUUCUGCUGUUGUCUGCUCUAUGGUCGGGUUGUUGUCUCUUUGGCACAUUCCCCAUUUCCAUUCUCAAUUUUAUAUAAGGUACAAUUCAUAGUUGGGCAUUGUAACGCUGAAUUGUAAGUUAACAAAAGAUCUUUCCAUGUUGUAUAUUAUACAUAACACACAAGAUGAUUAAGUGAGUUAAAUAUCAAUUUUCGGGGAAAAUUGAGUAAAUCUGUGUGUAAUGUGAUAUUGAAUGUAUAGGGGAAAUGUAAGAGGGAAUUGAACAUAAUCAAUUGCAAUAGCUGUAAAAAAAAAAAAGCUAUUAUGUCUGAUAUUUAACUUUAAUCUCAAUGUCUGUCUAUUUCAAAAAAAGUAAUUGUAAUUAAUUAUAUUGACAAUGUAAUUUUAAUGUAAUUAAUUACAUUGAAAUACAAAUUUUAUUGUAUUCAUUACAUUUAAAAAUUAUGUAAUUGAAAUGUAAUGACCCCAAGUUUAUCAGCUAUGAAGGUAAAUUGUAAGAUUGAUAUUUAACUUACAUCACUUUGUCUAACAUGUAGGUCAAUUGUAAGACUGAUAUUUAACCUAAAUCGCCUUGUCUGUAUUUAAUGUAGGUCAGUUGUACAGUUAUACACAUAUCAUUUAUUGGUUGGUUGUAUCAAUACUAUAUUUAGGCAUAUCAUUGAGAUAUUUAUAGCCUAGUGCAAUAAUUAUGUAAAUAUUCAGAGUUGCUCAGGGUUGAUCCUAGUGAUAAUGGUGCCUGUAUGUGUUUUAGUAAUUCACUUCCUGGUUGGUGUAGUAGUAUUGUGUAGAUCAAUGUUUUUAAGGUACCUCAGAAAAUUUCUUACAUACAUUUUGGCUAAAAAAGGUAUGUGUUAAAUAUUUACUAUGAUAUUAGAACCUGAUUUGUUAAAGACAUAAUAUUAUCUAGAUUUUGACAACAAACAAUACAAAACAAAAACUAAAUCUUUGUCCUUCUGACCUUAUAAUUUUAUGAAGGUAACCAUAAACACUAAAUGUUUGUUCUAUUCUAAAUAUAUAGAAUUUUCUUGAUUUAAUUUCAUAUUUUUUAGGUCUAGCCAGAUGAUUAAAGUAUAUUUUGUCCAAUGAUUUCCAUCUUUGUAACUUUAUAUUAUUUUUAUUACCCAUAAAUGCCACAAGAAAUAAGAAUAAUGACUUUAAUCAUGAUAUACAGAUAUAAUUUAAUGAAAUUUAAGAUGGAAACAAUUUUUUUUUAGUUCAGAAAUGGAAUGUAAAAUUAUGGUUGUCUUUAUUGAUUUUCUAGGCCAUUUUAUAUAUUUAAAUAUUUAUUUUAGGUAUGAGGCAGCAGGCAUUGAGUUUUAAUUUGAAAGAAAUUCAGUUACAGUGUUAAAGUAACGCCACAGGAAAAAAUAUAAUAUUUUAUUUUUAACAUAAAUGUGAUUUGCUGAUUUUAUUAUACACAUAAUCUUUAAACAACAAUAUGAUUGAUAUACAGAUUCUGUGUCCGCCCUUCAUUUACAAGAAGCUGAAAAAGGAUAUCUUUUACUUCCUGUUUUGAAGACCAUUUUAGGGCUCUUGGGAGUUUGGUAUUUCAUUGGUUGACACAACCGUUAUCAAAACAGGAAGAAGAAGAGAACAUUGGUAGGUUCUUGUAAACCAACCCUGACACAGGAUCUGUAUACAAUCAGAUUGUUUAAACAAUGAAUGAAAAUGAAUCAGAACAGCUUCAUGCACUUGUUAAAUUGUGCACAGAAAUGAUAAGAAAGAACUUAUUUUGAGAAGGGCCAUGCGAUAUAAUUCCUAUAUUCUCAUCCCGCUUUGAAAAGGGCAAGCGAACUUUAAAAAAAAUCUUUUCUAGUUUAGACUUUACAGGUUUCUUAUCAAAAUAAAGAAUAAAAAGUGAGAUAUGUUUGAAUGCUGCUGUUGUACUAAAAAGUCUGAGCAAUAUGUGAAAAUCUAGAUACAUGUUAUAUACUUGUACCUGAAAGGAUGCCGAUGUAGGAAUUAUGUGGUCUAAUUAUGAGGUUCCAUGUUUUUUUCCCUGAUUCUGUGAUGUAUACAAUGUUGAUAUUAGAGAUCUGUGUGUUCAUUCCAUUAUAUCAUUUGUAGAGUUUUAUAUCUUCAUCAUGUUAAAUUUUAUAUUGAAUAUUUUCAUAUGUAUAGUAUCCAAUAAUAAAGAUUGAUAUUUCUUUA
rnacentral:lncRNA from 1 species